rnacentral:misc_RNA from 1 species
ACUCCGAAGUGCUUGAAGGCGAAGAUCUUGUCAUCGAAAGGCACCCUAGGCACCAUAUCAUUGCAGUAGACUACCCUGUAGUAUCUAUUAACUGGGUAGUUUAAAUGGGCUUCCAUGAAUGUACCUAGGUGUACGUCCCCGAUCCUUGGCUGCCCAAAUGUGUAAAUAUUUAGCAACCUGUGGAUCAUCUCCGUCUCCUCUUGUAUCGCCAGCACGCAAGGGAAUAAUAUAGCCAGUGCCCCACCUAAGCUAUGUCCAGUGACAACAAAUUUUGCAUUCUUGUGCUCCCUUAGUAAGUUCUUGAGUUUCAUCGACACAGCAUAGUACGCACUCUUCUUCGCCAUUUCCAUAAUGGACCCCCCAGACUCACUGUUUAAAUGCAUGAAACUUGUAUGCUUCCUCUGAAGGUGAUUUUGGAAGGUGUUAGCAUCUCCUCUGCAACCCAAACCCAUGGCUUCUAAGAAUCCGAUGUGGAGUUUUCCCACUUUUGGAACCUCAUACCAAGAGAAAUCGAAAUCAGUACUCCAAUCUUGCGCAUUGAAAGGUUCUGUGCCUCUGAAGCUGAUCACUAUCAAGUUUGCAUCUUUGGGCUUGUCAGUAAACAUGAACACUUGGGUAUUGCUCUCCUUUUGGUUUUCAUUCCAGCAGUUGUAGAAGGCCUCGAAAUGCAUCUUCCAGUGAUUUUCGACAACAUUUUUAAUAACGUUCUCAUUCUCAUAAACAAGCUUGGAUGCCAUAAUACAAAGGUCCAUAAGAUAUCGAUUGCCCAAUUCUGAUCUUAUGUUAUUUGCAUCCAAAGCAACUGAAUCAUCUACUUUCUCAGCCAAGAAUACAGUCCUGUAUAGGUCUAUCCGUCCAUCCAAUUGCCCAAUUGUGCUUAUAAAAUUCUCUGUGCCUCUACGUGGUAUCCUCAGCUGACCCUUAAGAAAGUUAUUAAAUAUGCCAGAGAAGCCACCAUUCUGGGAAAGAAGGUUGAGAAAGAAAUCAACCAAAUAGCCAAAGUAUUUCAAUGGGGUGUUAAUAAGGGCAAGGAUCCUGCGAACGAUAAUGGACACCAACAAAAUCCACCUGUGAUCAACUGCUGCACCUCCCUUAACUGUCUCCUCUGAGCUAUCCAAGAAGUUCAUUCCACUCUUUGUGCUAUUCGCCACCAAGUACUUGAAUAUGUCUCUUUUGCUUCCCUUAUCUGGGUUUACUAUCAGGAAGUUUGGACUAGAACAAGUAACAUUAGUGGCCAUGGCUUUUGGCUUCUCACUUGCUUCACUACCACUUUUUUUCUUCACUAAAUUCAAGGCUAUGUUCAAGAUGGGGUGAGCAAGGAGAACUAUGAAAGUAUUUAUAGGUAGAAUUGGCAUCAAAUGGAAGAGUUAUAACUAGCACAAUUCAUUUUUAUGAUCCAUUAAUAUUC